CCCUUCUAGAUUCACAACAAAUGUCCUAUUAAUUAUUAAAUUAAUUAAACCCCAUCAUUGGUUUUUCAUUUUGCUUAUAUUCACCCCCUUCUGAUUGCCUCUUCACCAAUUUAUAUUUGCCAAAAUACCUCACUCUAAACACAGGGGAAGAUGAAUAAGUUCCUGGCUUUCCUGCUCAUGUUGUUGCUUGUAAUCUCAACAUCCCAGGCCGCAAGGCCACUUUCCGCUCAAUCUGUUCAACAAAGAUAUUCCAAGAUUUUUGCCACUCUUGGAGUAGUUUGCAAAUGUUGCGAUGGAAGUGGAGGUGAAUGCUCCAGUACUUGGACCCAAUCCUGCUCUCAGCCUCACCUCAAGUGCCUACCUUGGAAACUACAUUAGGAUUUUUGCUCCAACAUAACAUUUUUCUCUUUUUUCUAAUCUUUUUUGUUCUAUGUGCAUAUAUAUAUAGAGAGAGAGAGAGUUAUUGAAACUUAAGGGUUGAUUUGAUUUAUUCUUUAAGCUUACAACAUUGAUAAAUAUGUUCUUGUACCCAAAAUCUUCACGUACACUACGAUAUUGACAAGUUUUGUACUUGAAAGUCCUUUGAGUUGAGGCUUCCGCAACUGAGUUGCUAAACCAAUUACAAUUCCAAUAUUUAAUGCAUGUAA